rnacentral:rRNA from 1 species
CACGUAGGGGGCAAGCGUUGUCCGGAUUUAUUGGGCGUAAAGAGCUCGUAGGUGGUUCGGUAAGUCGGGUGUUAAACCCCCAGGCUCAACCUGGGGACGCCACUCGAUACUGCUGUGACUAGAGUCCGGUAGGGGAGCGUGGAAUUCCUGGUGUAGCGGUGAAAUGCGCAGAUAUCAGGAGGAACACCAAUGGCGAAGGCGGUUCUCUGGGACGGUACUGACGCUGAGACGCGAAAGCGUGGGGAGCGAACAGG